AUACCAGUUAUAAGACAUAUGCUAUCAUACAAAUGUACACACUCAGUCCUAAACAGCACAUCUUCAUCCAACCUCUCCUCCUGAGGGCUUACCGUGCUAAGUGCUAGAGACUGUAGCAAGUGUGUCAGGGCCAAUUGGGAUGGCAGACACCAAGGAAACAGGGCCUUAAAGACACAAGAGGACUGACGGAAGUAUGACCUGAUAGAGCAUGGUAGCAUACACAGGGCCAACACAGGGCCAAGCCAGAUGGCAUCCCAGCACUGAGAGGGGAACUGGACAGGAGCUACCAUACCUAACCCAGAAACUAUCUCCAGUUUAGAACUACUUGCCAGAGCGUUUUGCAAAGGAGUCUCUAUGAACCAUUGUACAGGACAGGCUCCAUGCCCAAUAGUGGAUGGCCAACCCAAAAGAAACUCAAUGGGAAAUUUGGAGAUGACUUGUUUUAUAAUUCUUUGGGUAGUUUUUAACCUUGUAGGUCUUAUUUGGUUUCCCAUUAUGUGUUUUUUUUAUGAGUUUUGUAAUAUCUCUGCAUGUGUAUGUAUAUUAUAUUUUUGUUUUUGCUCUGCUUGUGAACUGGUAGGAGAUGGGGGGAGUGAAACUGUGAUUAAAUGUUUGUAUGGAAAAUUCAUUUUCAAUAAAAAGUAAUAAAGAGAAAUAAAUAUAUCAUGGUAAGCUAAUGAAAAUAAAA
rnacentral:lncRNA from 1 species